rnacentral:rRNA from 1 species
AGAAUGAACGCUGGCGGCGUGCUUAACACAUGCAAGUCGAACGGAAUACAAGGAGCUUGCUCCGAACUAUUUAGUGGCGAACGGGUGAGUAACACGUGGGCAACCUGCCCCUAGCUCUGGGAUAAACUCCGGGAAACCGGUGCUAAUACCGGAUAUGACCUCAUUAGGCAUCCUUUGAGGUGGAAAGAUUUAUUGGCUAGGGAUGGGCCCGCGGCCUAUCAGCUUGUUGGUGGGGUAAUGGCCUACCAAGGCGACGACGGGUA